UACAGAGGUCUCAAGCGUUGUUCGGAUUCCUUGGACGUAAAGGGUGCGUAGGUGGCGCUGUAAGUCGGGUGUGAAAUUUCGGAGCUUAACUCCGAAACUGCAUUCGAUACUGCGGUGCUUGAGGACUGGAGAGGAGACUGGAAUUCAUGGUGUAGCAGUGAAAUGCGUAGAGAUCAUGAGGAAGACCAGUGGCGAAGGCGGGUCUCUGGACAGUUCCUGACACUGAGGCACGAAGGCCAGGGGAGCAAACGGG
rnacentral:rRNA from 1 species